AGGUAGCGCAAACGUCAGGUGGUGUACCAGAGUACACGAUUUUCUAACAUCGGGUGGUCGUCGAACUUGGAAGACCCUGCGAAGACAUAAUCCUCGCAAGAGAAACUACUAACCACAGAGCUCAACCAGUCAAAGAUAAUCACAAAUGGAAAGUCGAAUUCCCAGUCUCUCUUCUCGACGAUUCCGACGCACUCGAUGUCGCGAUUUUUAAUCGGAAUCCGGAGAACUUCUUUGGAAGAAACAAUAUGUUCUCGCGCGCCCGACUCGCGCUCAAAAUAAUUGUAAUCCUCGCUGAAAAUUGAACACCCUGUACAGAGAACGAAGUUGGAAAUUUCUACCAUCGGAUCGGCAUUGGUGAACGUAUAUAACCGCCCUUUCGAUUAAUUGGACGUGCAACGCGGAUGGACGGAAGGACGUCGAAUGUGAUUGCUUCGAACGACGGAGACCGAGACGAAAAGUUGCGCGGUAAAAAUCCAGUGCAACAAGAGGUACUACGUAAGAUCGGCAAAGAGCGAAAUUCUCGUCCGCCAAAAGCGGAUGGAAUCGAAACGUCGAUUCGAAAAAUGAGCGCAGAAAUUUUGGCCAACUUGAUAGCAGUGCUUGUAAUAGAGCGAGCGAUCGUUAGAGACAUUGCUCGAACCACGACGACGAUAACGGUGGUUUUCCUAUACGGUUUUAAUUUUUCAAUUUUUCAAUAUUUUUUUUCUUCCUCUUCCAUUCUCGUGCUUUUGCACACGGGUCCGCUGCAGCUGGCUGCGGGGUUGAGUGAAAUGACUUUAAUAUACAUGGACGAUUUUAUGCGAAAGUUAAAGCUCGGUGGAAAAUGUAAAAGAGAUGACUCAGGAAAUUUAAGAAGCUGACAGUGCUCGUUAGCGAAUUAAAUAAUAGUUGAAGAAAUAUGUAGCCCAGACAUACGUAUAUUUCACAUUACCGGUGGACAGAAAGAGAAAAAAAUAAAAUAAAAUAAAAUAAAGUGAUAUCUCGUGGAAAAGUUUUACUGCUGAACUCGAAUAACCUCACCAAAUUUAUAUUAUAUAAUCGCUGCAUUGAACAUGAAUUUAUUAUCGCUCCGACGAUGUUGAAAGUGUGGUUUAAAAAAAAGGAGUACUUUUUUUAUUUUCAUUUUUUCCAAAUUCUCUUUUCCAUUUCGCGUUUUCUCUCAAUUUUCGACAAAUCUCAGUCAAUCCGGGCCUAAUUUCGUUUCAAAAUUUUUUUAU